rnacentral:rRNA from 1 species
AGGAAGCGAGAAGUCGACGCGCCGAAAGGCGUCCGGCCCUCCGCGAGCACCCGCGGGGGUUCGGGUUUCGGACCCGGUCCGUUCCCGUUCCCACCGAGGGGCUGUCCGCGAUCAUGGAGGUGUCCUCGGACGGCGUCGAAGUCUCCGGUCCGCGACGCUACGGCUUGGAUGGUCCACCCGACCCGUCUUGAAACACGGACCAAGGAGUCUAACAUGCGCGCGAGUCGUUGGGUCGGACACGCUCCGCUAAACCCAUAGGCGCAAUGAAAGUGAAGGCUGCCGUCCGGUGGCCGAGGGAGGACGGGGCCGCAGAGGGCGCUCCGGCGUCCUCCGGUCCCCGCACCCCCGGGGCGUCUGAUCCCUCAUCGCGAGGGGAGGCGCACCCAGAGCGCACACGUUGGGACCCGAAAGAUGGUGAACUAUGCCUGGCCAGGACGAAGUCAGGGGAAACCCUGAUGGAGGUCCGUAGCGAUUCUGACGUGCAAAUCGAUCGUCGGAGCUGGGUAUAGGGGCGAAAGACUAAUCGAACCAUCUAGUAGCUGGUUCCCUCCGAAGUUUCCCUCAGGAUAGCUUGCGCUCGGAGGAGAGUCUCAUCCGGUAAAGCGAAUGAUUAGAGGCCUUGGGGCCGAAACGGCUUCAACCUAUUCUCAAACUUUAAAUGGGUGAGAACUCCGGCUUGCUCGACUUAUCGAAGCCGGAGACGGGGUCCGCUCUUCGGGGCGGGCCCCCGGGAUCGGAGUGCAUAGUGGGCCACUUUUGGUAAGCAGAACUGGCGCUGUGGGAUGAACCAAACGACGGGUUAAGGCGCCCGAAUCGACGCUCAUGGGAAACCAUGAAAGGUGUUGGUUGCUUAAGACAGCAGGACGGUGGCCAUGGAAGUCGGAAUCCGCUAAGGAGUGUGUAAUAACUCACCUGCCGAAGCAACUAGCCCUGAAAAUGGAUGGCGCUGAAGCGUCGUGCCUAUACCCGGCCGUCGCGGCAGGGCGGACCCGACCUCGGUCGGGUGCCGUUUGAUGCGGCGACGAGUAGGAGGGUCGCGGCGGCGCGCGCAGAAGGGUCUGGGCUCGAGCCUGCCUGGAGCCGCCGCCGGUGCAGAUCUUGGUGGUAGUAGCAAAUACUCCAGCGAGGCCCUGGAGGACUGAUGUGGAGAAGGGUUUCGUGUGAACAGCCGUUGCACACGAGUCAGUCGAUCCUAAGCCCUAGGAGAAAUCCGACGCCAACGGCGACGGGAAAAAUUUGAAAACGAGAAAGAAACCCGUUGAUCGGGCGAAAGGGAAUCCGGUUCCUAUUCCGGAACCCGGCAGCGGAACCGCUGUUUGUCGGGCCCUCACAAGGGGUUCGUCAGGGUAACCUAAAAGGGCCCGGAGACGCCGUCGGGAGCCCCGGAAAGAGUUUUCUUUUCUGCAUGAGCGUUCGAGUUCCCUG